CCCUUCUUCUGGUGUUUUUUGUAGGUGAGCCUAGCAUAUGGUUAUAUCUACAUGUACCGUAUAUUUGGAGGUGGUUUGAUACAGAGAACACCAGAAACAUAGCCAAUAGGAAUGCCGUGUAGCUUUCAAGUGUUCAGGAGGAAUAACUCUGUCUCUAGAAGUAUCUUCAGAGAUUCUUCAUACCAAAUCUGGCAUUGCAUGAAACUCUGAUGGUUAUAUACUUCCAAAAGAAAGUUUCGUAUCUGCCUCUACAAGUAAGAGAAGAUUAUACUCCCUCUUCACUUCAUAUUUUUGUUUGUUUAUUUGCCAUUGGUGGCUGCAAGAGAUGGAGACAGAAAAAGAUGGAUGGAUGGAUGUGCAAAGGAGAUCCUCAGUACCACAUUUGCUUACCUUUUAAUUCCUUUCCCAUCUACUGGCAUCUAUUCCUUUAAAGGCAGAAAGUUGCUAUAUGUUAGAGUAUUCUUCUGCAUCUUGUUUAAUUGUAAGACAUCUUCUAU